GACGAACGCUGGCGGCGUGCUUAACACAUGCAAGUCGAACGGUAAGGCUCCAGCUUGCUGGGGUACACGAGUGGCGAACGGGUGAGUAACACGUGGGUGACCUGCCCUGCACUUCGGGAUAAGCCUGGGAAACUGGGUCUAAUACCGGAUAGGACCAUGGUGUGGAUACUGUGGUGGAAAGUUUUUUCGGUGUGGGAUGGGCCCGCAGCCUAUCAGCUUGUUGGUGGGGUAAUGGCCUACCAAGGCGGCGACGGGUAGCCGGCCUGAGAGGGUGGACGGCCACAUUGGGACUGAGACACGGCCCAGACUCCUACGGGAGGCAGCAGUGGGGAAUAUUGCACAAUGGGCGGAAGCCUGAUGCAGCGACGCCGCGUGGGGGAUGACGGCCUUCGGGUUGUAAACUCCUUUCACCAUCGACGAAGGGUUUCUGACGGUAGAUGGAGAAGAAGCACCGGCUAACUACGUG
rnacentral:rRNA from 1 species